rnacentral:rRNA from 1 species
GAUGAACGCUAGCGGCAGGCCUAACACAUGCAAGUCGAGGGGCAUCAUGGCGUAGCAAUACGCUGAUGGCGACCGGCGCACGGGUGCGUAACGCGUAUGGAACCUACCCACCGCAGGGGGAUAACCCGCCGAAAGGCGGACUAAUACCCCAUGGUUCCCCGACCCUGCCUGGGGUUGGGGGUAAAGCCUACGGGCGGCGGUGGAUGGCCCUGCGUGCCAUUAGCUGGCUGGUGGGGUAACGGCCCACCAGGGCAACGAUGGCUAGGGGGUCUGAGAGGAUGGUCCCCCACACUGGUACUGAGACACGGACCAGACUCCUACGGGAGGCAGCAGUGAGGAAUAUUGGUCAAUGGGCGGAAGCCUGAACCAGCCAUGCCGCGUGCGGGAUGAAGGCCCUACGGGUUGUAAACUGCUUUUCCAGGGAGAGAAACUUACGCACGUGUUGCGUGACUGACGGUACCCUGGGAAUAAGCAUCGGCUAACUCCGUGCCAGCAGCCGCGGUAAAAGUGU